GACGAACGCUGGCGGCGUGCCUAAUACAUGCAAGUUGAGCGCUGAAGGUUGGUACUUGUACCAACUGGAUGAGCAGCGAACGGGUGAGUAACGCGUGGGGAAUCUGCCUUUGAGCGGGGGACAACAUUUGGAAACGAAUGCUAAUACCGCAUAAAAACUUUAAACACAAGUUUUAAGUUUGAAAGAUGCAAUUGCAUCACUCAAAGAUGAUCCCGCGUUGUAUUAGCUAGUUGGUGAGGUAAAGGCUCACCAAGGCGAUGAUACAUAGCCGACCUGAGAGGGUGAUCGGCCACAUUGGGACUGAGACACGGCCCAAACUCCUACGGGAGGCAGCAGUAGGGAAUCCUCGGCAAUGGACGAAAGUCCGACCGAGCAACGCCGCGUGAGUGAAGAAGGUUUUCGGAUCGUAAAACUCUGUUGGUAGAGAAGAACGUUGGUGAGAGUGGAAAGCUCAUCAAGUGACGGUAACUACCCAGAAAGGGACGGCUAACUACGUG
rnacentral:rRNA from 1 species